UACGUAGGUGGCGAGCGUUGUCCGGAUUUACUGGGCGUAAAGGGAGCGUAGGCGGAUUUUUAAGUGGGAUGUGAAAUACUCGGGCUCAACUUGAGUGCUGCAUUUCAAACUGGAAGUCUAGAGUGCAGGAGAGGAGAAUGGAAUUCCUAGUGUAGCGGUGAAAUGCAUAGAGAUUAGGAAGAACACCAGUGGCGAAGGCGAUUCUCUGGACUGUAACUGACGCUGAGGCUCGAAAGCGUGGGGAGCAAACAGG
rnacentral:rRNA from 1 species